CAUGCAAGUCGAGCGCGAGCGUUAGAAGCUUGCUUCUAACAAUCGAGCGGCGGACGGGUGAGUAACACGUGGGCAACCUACCUUUGAGAUUGGGAUAACUACCGGAAACGGUAGCUAAUACCGGAUAGGACAUGAUUACAUAAGUAGCGAUGUUAAAAGGCGGAUUUAUCUGCCGUUCAAAGAUGGGCCUGCGGUGCAUUAGCUAGUUGGUGAGAUAGUAGCUCACCAAGGCGACGAUGCAUAGCCGACCUGAGAGGGUGAUCGGCCACACUGGGACUGAGACACGGCCCAGACUCCUACGGGAGGCAGCAGUAGGGAAUCUUCCGCAAUGGACGCAAGUCUGACGGAGCAACGCCGCGUGAGUGAAGAAGGGUUUCGGCUCGUAAAACUCUGUUGUUAAGGAAGAACACUUGAGGUAGUAACUGGCCUCGAGCUGACGGUACUUAACCAGAAAGCCACGGCAACUACGUGCCAGCAGCCGCGGUAAUACGUAGGUGGCAAGCGUUAUCCGGAAUUAUUGGGCGUAAAGCGCGCGUAGGCGGUAGAAUAAGUCUGAUGUGAAAGCCCCUGGCUCAACCAGGGAGGGUCAUUGGAAACUGUUUUACUUGAGUACAGAAGAGGAGAGUGGAAUUCCAUGUGUAGCGGUGAAAUGCGCAGAGAUAUGGAGGAACACCAGUGGCGAAGGCGGCUCU
rnacentral:rRNA from 1 species